AUACAGGGGGUGCGAGCGUUAAUCGGAAUUACUGGGCGUAAAGAGUACGUAGGCGGUUGCUUAAGUCAGAUGUGAAAGCCCCGGGCUCAACCUGGGAACUGCAUUUGAAACUGAGUGACUAGAGUUUAAGAGAGGGGAGUAGAAUUCCGGGUGUAGCGGUGAAAUGCGUAGAGAUCCGGAGGAAUACCAGUGGCGAAGGCGGCUCCCUGGCUUAAAACUGACGCUGAGGCACGAAAGCGUGGGUAGCAAACAGGAUUAGAAACCCCAGUAGUCC
rnacentral:rRNA from 1 species